CUCAGGACGAACGCUGGCGGCGUGCCUAAUACAUGCAAGUCGAACGCUUCUUUCCUCCCGAGUGCUUGCACUCAAUUGGAAAGAGGAGUGGCGGACGGGUGAGUAACACGUGGGUAACCUACCCAUCAGAGGGGGAUAACACUUGGAAACAGGUGCUAAUACCGCAUAACAGUUUAUGCCGCAUGGCAUAAGAGUGAAAGGCGCUUUCGGGUGUCGCUGAUGGAUGGACCCGCGGUGCAUUAGCUAGUUGGUGAGGUAACGGCUCACCAAGGCCACGAUGCAUAGCCGACCUGAGAGGGUGAUCGGCCACACUGGGACUGAGACACGGCCCAGACUCCUACGGGAGGCAGCAGUAGGGAAUCUUCGGCAAUGGACGAAAGUCUGACCGAGCAACGCCGCGUGAGUGAAGAAGGUUUUCGGAUCGUAAAACUCUGUUGUUAGAGAAGAACAAGGACGUUAGUAACUGAACGUCCCCUGACGGUAUCUAACCAGAAAGCCACGGCUAACUACGUGCCAGCAGCCGCGGUAAUACGUAGGUGGCAAGCGUUGUCCGGAUUUAUUGGGCGUAAAGCGAGCGCAGGCGGUUUCUUAAGUCUGAUGUGAAAGCCCCCGGCUCAACCGGGGAGGGUCAUUGGAAACUGGGAGAC
rnacentral:rRNA from 1 species